GAUUCCAUUCCGAACUCAGAAGUGAAACGAAAUAGCGCCGAUGGUAGUGUGGGGUUUCCCCAUGUGAGAGUAGGACAUCGCCAGGC
rnacentral:rRNA from 1 species